rnacentral:sRNA from 1 species
ACACUUGCUCUCCGUUGGUCCGGGGCUGGCCACAUGGAGCCGGAGCUGGAGCACGCACUGCGCAGGACCCCUUCCUGGAGCAGCCUUGGGGGUUCUGAGCAUCAAGAGAUGAGCUUCCUAGAGCAAGAAAACAGCAGCUCAUGGCCAUCACCAGCUGUGACCAGCAGCUCAGAAAGAAUCCGCGGGAAACGGAGGGCCAAAGCCUCGAGAUGGACAAGGCAGAAGGCGGUGGAGGAAGGGGAGCCACCGGGUCAGGGGGAAGGUCCCCAGUCCACGCCAGCUGCUGAGUCCACCGGGCUGGAGGCCACAUUCCCCAAGGCCACACCCUUGGCUCAAGCUGAUCCUGCCGGGGUGGGCACUCCACCAAUAGAGUGGGACUGCCUCCCCUCUGACUGUACAGCCUCAGCUGCAGGCUCCAGCACAGAUGAUGUGGAGCUGGCCACGGAGUUCCCAGCCACAGAGGCCUGGGAGUGUGAGCUAGAAGGCCUGGUGGAAGAGAAGCCUGCCCCGUGCCUGUCCCCACAGGCCCCAUUUCCCAAGCUGGGCUGGGAUGACGAACUGCGGAAACCCGGCGCCCAGAUCUACAUGCGCUUCAUGCAGGAGCACACCUGCUACGAUGCCAUGGCAACUAGCUCCAAGCUGGUCAUCUUCGACACCAUGCUGGAGAUCAAGAAGGCCUUCUUUGCUCUGGUGGCCAACGGUGUGCGGGCAGCCCCUCUAUGGGACAGCAAGAAGCAGAGCUUUGUGGGGAUGCUGACCAUCACUGACUUCAUCCUGGUGCUGCAUCGCUACUACAGGUCCCCCCUGGUGAGGAGUGGGCUGGGAAUCUUACGGGCACCCAGAAGGGGCGGGGGCAGAGGGGCAUCCUCCUGGAGCCUGGUGCCCUAGAAGCCCACGUCUGCCUGACUUCUGGAGUCCUGUCGAUGUCUCUAGGUCCAGAUCUAUGAGAUUGAACAACAUAAGAUUGAGACCUGGAGGGAGAUCUACCUGCAAGGCUGCUUCAAGCCUCUGGUCUCCAUCUCUCCUAAUGACAGCCUGUUCGAAGCUGUCUACACCCUCAUCAAGAACCGGAUCCAUCGCCUGCCUGUUCUGGACCCGGUGUCAGGAAACGUACUCCACAUCCUCACACACAAACGCCUGCUCAAGUUCCUGCACAUCUUUGGUUCCCUGCUGCCCCGGCCCUCCUUCCUCUACCGCACUAUCCAAGAUUUGGGCAUCGGCACAUUCCGAGACUUGGCUGUGGUGCUGGAGACAGCACCCAUCCUGACUGCACUGGACAUCUUUGUGGACCGGCGUGUGUCUGCACUGCCUGUGGUCAACGAAUGUGGUACCCACCCCUAGGAUGAGAGGCUCGGGCUGGGCUGGGGCCUGGGAGAACUUGGUGGGGAGAAUAUGGGAAGGGCAGGGGUUCCCAUGCCAUCCCUGUGAUGGGUACCCGAUGGACUGGGGAUUAGAAGUCUCCGUCUACUCUGAGACUUGGGCCAGUUGCUUAGCCUCUCAGUGCCUCAGUUUCCUCCUUUGUGAAAUGGGAUUCUUCACAACACUCAUCUUUCUGACUUCACAGGAGGAUUUAAAAGGUUAUGUGCAUGAAAAUGGGCAUAGUGAGAGGAAGCAGCAGAU